UACGUAGGGUGCAAGCGUUAAUCGGAAUUACUGGGCGUAAAGGGCUCGUAGGCGGCCAACUAAGUCGGACGUGAAAUCCCUCGGCUUAACCGGGGAACUGCGUCCGAUACUGGAUGGCUUGAGUUUGGGAGAGGGAUGCGGAAUUCCAGGUGUAGCGGUGAAAUGCGUAGAUAUCUGGAGGAACACCGGUGGCGAAGGCGGCAUCCUGGACCAACACUGACGCUGAUGAGCGAAAGCCAGGGGAGCAAACGGG
rnacentral:rRNA from 1 species